CCUCCACCUUGUUGAAUCGGAUUCACCACAUGCACACACUUCAUUUACGUGUACAAUAUCGCCACCACUUCAUUCCGCCCCUUCCUUCUCAUUUCCACCAUUACAAUUUACAAAAUCCCCCAAAAUAUUGCCAUCUUAAACACACCUCUCUCUCGCUCUCUUCUCCAUCUUCACACAAUCCAAUUCUUUCUUUCAGACCUCUGUCUCACACAAUGGUUCCAAUCGUAAUAUCUCAGCUAGCCACGGGUCUGAGUGUCUUGGCCGGCGCGGUUCUGGUGAAGUCGGUCAUGGACCAGAAGCCGAUGCUCGGGUCUGGCCCGUUCCCCCGGUGCCCAACCUGCAACGGAACCGGCCGGGUUUCGUGUCUUUGCUCCCGGUGGUCCGACGGGGAUGUUGGGUGCCGGACCUGUGCCGGGUCGGGUCGCAUGGGCUGCAGUAGCUGCGGAGGUUCCGGUACCAGUCGCCCAAUUCCGGUUCAGAUCUCCGUUCGUCCGCCCAACAGAUCGCCUUAGAAAAUGCCCGGUAUAAUUGCAGGUGGAUCGAGUUUGAGAGUGGUGGGCUUACAGCAAAAACAGUGGCGUGACCGGGAUCAGCCAGGUGAGCAAAGAGGUUGUCGAUUGGUCCUGUUCCGGUGUAGAUGUGUUGGAACCAUGCGCCCAUAACUGC